AUACGGAGGAUCCGAGCGUUAUCCGGAUUUAUUGGGUUUAAAGGGUGCGCAGGCGGCCAUUUAAGUCAGCGGUUAAUCGUGGGGCUCAACCCCAUUCUGCCGUUGCUACUGGGUGGCUUGAUUGCGGUCGAGGUUGGCGGAAUUCGUUGUGUAGCGGGGAAAUGCAUAGAUAUGACGAAGAACACCGAUUGCGUAGGCAGCUGACCAGACCGCAAAUGACGCUCAUGCACGAAAGUGCGGGGAUCGAACAGGAUUAGAUACCCUGGUAGUCCGCACAGUAAACGAUGAAUACUUGUUUUCGGCGAUAUAAUGUCGGAGGCAAAGCGAAAGCGAUAAGUAUUCCACCUGGGGAGUACGCCGGCAACGGUGAAACUCAAAGGAAUUGACGGGG
rnacentral:rRNA from 1 species